rnacentral:rRNA from 1 species
GAUGAACGCUGGCGGCGUGCCUAACACAUGCAAGUCGAGCGAUCUUCUUCGGAAGAGAGCGGCGGACAGGUGAGUAACGCGUGGGUAACCUGCCCUGUACACACGGAUAACAUACCGAAAGGUAUGCUAAUACGGGAUGAUAUAUGAAAGUCGCAUGGCUUUUAUAUCAAAGCUCCGGCGGUACAGGAUGGACCCGCGUCUGAUUAGCUAGUUGGUAAGGUAACGGCUUACCAAGGCGACGAUCAGUAGCCGACCUGAGAGGGUGAUCGGCCACACUGGAACUGAGACACGGUCCAGACUCCUACGGGAGGCAGCAGUGGGGAAUAUUGCACAAUGGGCGAAAGCCUGAUGCAGCAACGCCGCGUGAGCGAUGAAGGCCUUCGGGUCGUAAAGCUCUGUCCUCAAGGAAGAUAAUGACGGUACUUGAGGAGGAAGCCCCGGCUAACUACGUGCCAGCAGCCGCGGUAAUACGUAGGGGGCUAGCGUUAUCCGGAAUUACUGGGCGUAAAGGGUGCGUAGGCGGUCUUUCAAGCCAGAAGUGAAAGGCUACGGCUCAACCGUAGUAAGCUUUUGGAACUGUAGGACUUGAGUGCAGGAGAGGAGAGUAGAAUUCCUAGUGUAGCGGUGAAAUGCGUAGAUAUUAGGAGGAAUACCAGUAGCGAAGGCGGCUCUCUGGACUGUAACUGACGCUGAGGCACGAAAGCGUGGGGAGCAAACAGG